rnacentral:rRNA from 1 species
CACUCCUACGGGAGGCAGCAGUGGGGAAUAUUGCACAAUGGGCGCAAGCCUGAUGCAGCCAUGUCGCGUGUAUGAAGAAGGCCUUCGGGUUGUAAAGUACUUUCAGCGGGGAGGAAGGCGAUAAGGUUAAUAACCUUGUUGAUUGACGUUACCCGCAGAAGAAGCACCGGCUAACUCCGUGCCAGCAGCCGCGGUAAUACGGAGGGUGCAAGCGUUAAUCGGAAUUACUGGGCGUAAAGCGCACGCAGGCGGUCUGUCAAGUCGGAUGUGAAAUCCCCGGGCUCAACCUGGGAACUGCAUUCGAAACUGGCAGGCUAGAGUCUUGUAGAGGGGGGUAGAAUUCCAGGUGUAGCGGUGAAAUGCGUAGAGAUCUGGAGGAAUACCGGUGGCGAAGGCGGCCCCCUGGACAAAGACUGACGCUCAGGUGCGAAAGCGUGGGGAGCAAACAGGAUUAGAAACCCCGGUAGUCCCA